AAAUGAAUAGACGGGGACCCGCACAAGCGGUGGAACAUGUGGUUCAAUUCGAUGCUACGCGAAGAACCUCACCAGGGCUUGACAUAUAGGAAGUACGAACCUGAAAGGGGGAGGACCUGUCAAGUCAGGAACCUAUACAGGUGCUACAUGGCUGUCGUCAGCUCGUGCCGUGAGGUGUUGGGUUAAGUCCCGCAACGAGCGCAACCCUUUUUCUUAGUUGCUACGUUUGAAGCCGCAAGGCAGAGAACAGCACUCUAAGGAGACUGCUCGGGAUAACCGAGAGGAAGGUGGGGAUGACGUCAAGUCCGUAUGGCCUUUAUGCCCUGGGCUACACACGUGUUACAAUGCCGACUACAAAGCGUCGCCAAACCGCGAGGUGGAGCUAAUCGCAAAAAAGUCGGCCCAGUUCAGAUCGGAGUCUGCAACUCGACUCCGUGAAGCCGGAAUCGCUAGUAAUGGCGGGUCAGCUACACCGCCGUGAAUACGUUCCCGGGUCUUGUACACACCGCCCGU
rnacentral:rRNA from 1 species